AGGAGUAAAAGUGUGACUUUUUGUGGCAAGUCUGAAUGUUUGACGGCCGAACGUAGUGAGGCCGACAAUUUCAGACGCGCCACAAAAAGUGCUUUUACUCCGAAUAAAACAUACAAUUUUUUCCGCAAACGCUGUUCAAACGAUAGAAUUAAGGGAGUAUUCCUAAAAAGAUUGCAGCGCAUCUGUUAAAUGUUGAAAAAUUUAAAACUAGAUUGCUGUGGUUUGCGGUUGUUAUGGUGAAAGAAAAUUUUGACAAUUCAACAAAUUAAUUAUCGGGAACAUUCAAAGCCCUUUUGAACUGUGCGUUUUUGGUAAGUACCCGAGUAUCAAGUAGAUAAAGUAGUAAAAGAUAUUGACCAAUUUUUCUUGCAGGUUACAUAUUAUGUCGGAUUCCGAACUUAACUGUACGCCGCCAGACGUUCUUGCAAUUGCCAAGACAGCUACGAACGAUUUAAUUCCAACGAAGUCAAGUAGAGUUUAUAAUCAUGCUUAUGAAAGAUUUCUCACAUGGUGCAAUGAGAAAAACAUUACAAACUAUUCUGAAAAUGUGCUACUAGCUUAUUUUUGUGAAUUGGCAACCAAUCUAAAAAUGAAGAGUUCAACAAUGUGGUCUCAAUAUUCCAUGAUAAAAGCAUUAUUAAAUCUUAAACAUGGAUUAGAUAUUAGCAAAUAUAUGAAGCUACGUGCUUAUUUGAAAAAGCAGAAUGAAGGCUAUACUCCCAAAAAAUCAAAGGUAUUCACAAAGGAACAGUUUGAAGAUUUUUUAAACAAUGCACCUGAUGAGCAAUAUUUGGGGAUUAAGUAAUAGGCGUAUCAGGAGCAUGUAGGUGCGAUGAAAUGGUGAAUAUGACAAUAGACAAUAUAGAGGAUUUAGGAUCUGUUAUUCAUAUAAAGAUUCCUGAUAGCAAAACUAAAAAGCCACGAUCGUUUACAAUUAUUGGUGAAAAAUACAUAAAUCUUUAUAGAAAAUAUACUUCCUUGCGCCCCCCCGCUAUGGAAAGCCGUCGAUUUUUCUUGAAAUUUCAAAACGGAAAAUGUUAUCGCAUGGUCAUGGGAAUUCAUACAAUUAGUAAUGUACCCAAAACAGUAGCAACUUUUUUAAAACUACCGGAUUCAAAACUUUACACAGGCCAUGCUUUAAGAAGAACUUCAGCUACAUUGCUGGUGAAUGGAGGAGCUGAUAUCACUUGUUUAAAGCGGCAUGGAGGUUGGAGGUCGAGCACUGUGGCUGAAGGAUACCUAGAAGAUUCUUUGUCUAAUAAAAAAGAAACCGCGAAAAAGAUCUUAAUGCCAAAUUCUUCGUCAUUGGGCCUGAAUGCAGCUUCCGAUGAGCGAAAUUCGGUGGACGUUGAUUUAACAGAUGUUGAAACGAGUAAGAAGUCAAAGGAAAUGUUAUUGGCUAACUCAUUCAACUCUACACAAAAUUCUAUUGAAUUAGAAGUCAAUAAAUCAGGAAGUGUGUUAAAUUUGUGCGGUGCAACUCUAAAUAAUUGUAAUUUCACAAUUAAUAUGUAAUUAUCGCUAAUAAAUCUCCAAAGUUCAACUACCUGAUGAUAUUUACUGUCUGUCAUGUCACUUUUUUCUCCGGCCG